UCUUGUGAUGAUUUCCUGAUAGGGACAGCUUAUGCUAUGCAUAUGAUGUGAACGGGAAAGAGUAUUUUAGUAGAUGCUUCUCACUUCUGAUA
rnacentral:snoRNA from 1 species